rnacentral:tRNA from 1 species
GUGGGUACAGCUCAGGGGUAGAGUGUGUACUUAGAAUGCACGAGGUCCUGGCUUCAAUUCCCAGUAUCUCCA